rnacentral:sRNA from 1 species
AAUCACCUUAAUUCUGUAGUCUGGAAAUUGCUCAACUGCUCUGCUGAGACAGGGAAUGGCCUGAUCUGCAAUCCACCUAGCUGCUGCAACCAUUCCGCAAUGUACAUGGCCAACAACUACAUUAGAAACACGGCCUUCUUUUAACACCACAUGAUGAAAUGGAACCUCUGCAGCAGUCGCUGCCGUCAGGCGAUCCUUAACACUUGUAGCGCCCCGAAUGAAAAGGAUGAAGGAUUUAGUACUUUUAUCGCGGACAAUUGUGAAUGAGGGCUUCAUAACCUGCAUGACAACACUGAGAUAUCACUCUGGCCAUAUCCACCAAAUUCCAGGAACACUUCGUAUGGCUUCUUCGCGAAAAACAUGCAGAGUCUCAGAUAUCUAAGAAUUGCAAUCAGCUCCUGCCUUGUUACAGGGCCUUCUAGGGGCACACAACUGCGACCAGUGUACUCGUGCUGCAGAUUGCCCU